UACGGAGGGUGCGAGCGUUAUCCGGAAUCACUGGGUUUAAAGGGUGCGUAGGCGGUUCGGUAAGUCAGUUGUGAAAGCCCCUUGCAUAACGAGGGAGGUGCGAUUGAUAAUGUCGAGCUUGAAUCGGGAUGAGGCAGGCGGAAUGUGGCAUGUAGCGGUGAAAUGCAUAGAUAUGCCAUAGAACAACGAUUGCGAAGGCAGCCUGCUGGGCCUGUAUUGACGCUGAGGCACGAAAGCGUGGGGAGUAAACAGG
rnacentral:rRNA from 1 species